GUGGGGAAUUUUGGACAAUGGGCGCAAGCCUGAUCCAGCAAUGCCGCGUGUGUGAAGAAGGCCUUCGGGUUGUAAAGCACUUUUGUCCGGAAAGAAAUCUCCUGGGUUAAUACCUCGGGGGGAUGACGGUACCGGAAGAAUAAGCACCGGCUAACUACGUGCCAGCAGCCGCGGUAAUACGUAGGGUGCGAGCGUUAAUCGGAAUUACUGGGCGUAAAGCGUGCGCAGGCGGCUAUGCAAGACAGAUGUGAAAUCCCCGGGCUCAACCUGGGAACUGCAUUUGUGACUGCAUGGCUAGAGUGCGUCAGAGGGAGGUGGAAUUCCGCGUGUAGCAGUGAAAUGCGUAGAGAUGCGGAGGAACACCGAUGGCGAAGGCAGCCUCCUGGGCCUGUACUGACGCUCAUGCACGAAAGCGUGGGGAGCAAACAGGAUUAGAAACCCUAGUAGUCC
rnacentral:rRNA from 1 species